CCCUUAGAUGUUCUGGGCCGCACGCGCGCUACACUGAUGCAUUCAACAAGCCUAGCCUUGACCGAGAGGUCCGGGUAAUCUUUGAAACUGCAUCGUGAUGGGGCUAGAUUAUUGCAAUUAUUAAUCUUCAACGAGGAAUGCCUAGUAAGCGUGAUUCAUCAAAUCGCGUUGAUUACGUCCCUGCCCUUUGUACACACCGCCCGUCGCUCCUACCGAUUGAAUGCUCAGGUGAGCCAUUCGGACUUUCAUCAUGCUGGUUUCCAGUUUUGAUGAAGGAAAGUCUUGCGAACCUUAUCAUUUAGAGGAAGGAGAAGUCGUAACA
rnacentral:rRNA from 1 species